rnacentral:rRNA from 1 species
UACAGAGGUCCCAAGCGUUGUUCGGAUUCACUGGGCGUAAAGGGUGCGUAGGCGGUCGGGUAAGUCUGAUGUGAAAUCUCACAGCUUAACUGUGAAACUGCAUUGGAUACUAUCCGGCUCGAGGAAUGGAGGGGAGACUGGAAUUCCUGGUGUAGCGGUGGAAUGCGCAGAUAUCAGGAGGAACACCGGUGGCGAAGGCGGGUCUCUGGGCCGUUACUGACGCUGAGAAGCGAAAGCAUGGGGAGCGAACAGG